UCUUCUGUAAAUAGUGCUGACCCAGGCUCUCAUCCAUCAUUCACUGUGGCAACAUUCUGACAUUUAAACAAGCAAAGAGCUUGGCGUUUCAUCCCUUGCUACUCUGUUUCUUUUCCUUCAGAUCAAGUGGAAAAGACAAAGUGCCCAAAACUUGCCAGCAGAUAAAAACGUGAAUGGGUCAGUAGAAACAAACAACGGCGGUGAAAAAUUUUCUUUCGAAGAAGUUGAUUGUCUCGUGAUAAUAGUGACAAAUAUUCAAUGUGCUUGUGGAGUACUGGGUUCUAAGACAAUACAUGGAUUAAUUCAGUGCCUUGUGGCUCUCGCAGGAGCCAAGAGGGAGAUGCCGUUAGCACCUCGGCUGCCCCGAUUUCACAGUAGAAUCACCUUGGAAGUUUCAGUAAAAGUCGCUGCCUGGGUCCCACGUGCAGAGAUUCUGAUGGUCUGGGCAGCCUGGCCUUCGGGGUUUUAAAGGCCUGCAGGUGAGCUGAAGAAGCGGCUGAAGCUGAGAACCUGAUGGGAAUAGGACCAGCGGACACUGAGCCCUGGGCACAGACCGGAUCUAAAGUUGUAACUUCCACACGAUACUGAUCUACUCGAACAGUUUCUAUUUCUAUUCUGCGUCCCUGAGGAGAGAAUAUUUGGCACUGCAUAUAACAUUAAAAAAAAAAAAAAGAAAUCCUUUCCUCUGGCUGGCAUUCAACUUUUAUAUUUUUAGAUUUGGAAAUACAUUUUCCUCUCCCUCCACCCAGCAUGUAUAUUUUUACUCUCCUCUUAUUUCUUCCAAACUGCCCCAAAAUCUGUUUCCUGGCAAUUUGAGAAGUGAGAAAUGUCAGCGUGGGGAAAAAAGUGAAGACGCAUGUGAAGCUGUAAUUUUAGCCUGGAAACAUUGCCCAACGACAAAACCAGGGACUGUCUUGUGAUGUUUUCUUCUCCUCGCACUAGCGUCCUAUUUUGUUCUCACUGAAGUUUACUCCGGCUGUCUCCCAUUCAGGCACAGUGACCCGCUUUAUGUCAGCAGCAUACUGACUUCGGAGGACAAAGGAGAGCGUGAUGACCUUAAACUACAGGGACUGAAUGGUCACUCUGAAUUCAUUGUAAAUACGCAAAGCAGGCAGUCGGCUCAGCCACAGUUCUGAUCUUUAAGCAUCCAGCCUACUGACGGGUUAGAAAGUUCCGUUCAGUCAACAAGGACCUAUCAAGUCAUUGCCAAGCACCAGGAAAAGGCCAGCCUCGGCUGUGUUGAUUUUGAAACAGCCCUGAACUCUCAGUUGGGGGGGAGGUUACAUAAACAAACAAACAAACAAACAAAAAACAGGGUGGAGUGUCUGCAGGGCUCUUCUGAUUAGCUGUGAUGUUCUCUUGGUCCAACUAAGCCAAGGACUGUCCCAGAUAACACCAAAUCCUUUCAGGUUAGAAUGCGAUCUUUUCAUUCUGCUCCUAUCAGAACAUGAGUUUGCUGAAAAAAUUUCAACUUUUCUGUUUCCUCUCUAUGGAUUAUCUAACCA